AAAUAAUGAAAGGUGCAAAUGUGGAUUUGAGAUUUUUUUGUCCCUUAUAGUUUUGUUAUUAGUUUGAAAUUCCAGUGUUGUAAGUUCAAGUUUGAAGAUUUUGUCUUGGAUGACUAAUUUUACUUGAUGGGUUUUGUUUAUAUUUGAAGGAUUUCUGGUGAAAAGAUCAUAUUGGCCCUUGUGCAAUACAGCACAAUAUUACUUCAUUCCAUGAGUUUGUUCCCGACUUGUUUGUAGGAUUUAGAGUUUGCACCCUUUUUAGCAUGGUAAAUGUUUAAUGCAUUUUAAGGUGGUUUUACUCCCUAGCUGUAUUUUGCAUGGUUAAACAAAUAUAUUCCAAAAUAGGUUGGAAUUAUGAGGAGUCAACUCAAUAACUGCAUCGUUGAUCUUCUUUAAUUUGUUCCAAUUUGAAUUUGCUAAAGGAAUAGUGAAAGCUAAUAGGAUUGUUUAAAUGUACACCUUGUUUCUGGCAAAGGAAAGAUAAAUGAAGAAACUGUUUUAUGCUUUUUUCCUUAACCGUCUCUUCAGUUUAGUUUAACAGGUUUUCUUUGGUUGUAUGUAAUGUUACUUGCUUACUUUAUCUUGUAUUUAGUGUUUUAUUUCUUUUCUGUUGCUCUUGUUUUUGCCUCAGCACAGAGAACUGGCAAGGAAGGUAUGAUACUUGAAGCUGAUAAGAUGACUUUGAGUUUGAUUGUAAUAUAAAGUGGAAUAUGGUUGUCCUCUUGGGUGUCACUCAUGUGACUUCAUAGGAUAUACAAAUGAGAUUGAGAGGAAGAUGGUACUUGCAGUGUAAUCUACUGCACAAAUUAGACUUGAAGUUGUAGCUGGAUAGAGAUCAAUUGAGAAAUUUUACAAUUCAAAUUAUACAGCAAGAGAAAUUAAUGCUAAUUAUGAAUGUCAGUUGUGUUAAAAGCUGGUGCUGGAGUUUAAAAAAUUAAUCAAUUUGUUAAGUUCCAAGGAUUGAAGAUAAGUAGCAGCAGACAUGAUCAUAAUAAGGGAAUUUGUGAUAUAUAAGCUUUGGAAAGAACACAGAACAGAAGGAUGAACCCCACCUAUUAUGUUUUGGAUGAAUUUUUAAUCCAUUAUUAUAAAUAUUAACUCUGAAAUUGAUCUCUUUAGACAAAUUGAAUGCCUGUUAAUUUUAUUUAGCUAUUCUAUUUUCUAGUUUGCUAUCUUUUUAGUUGCA